rnacentral:tRNA from 1 species
GCCAGACCUCGCCGGGCAGCGGGCGGCCGCGUUCCCAGCGGCGCAGCAGUCGCCGGAAGACGAGGGCGGUCCCGCCCGCCGUCAGGCUC